CCUUGUACACACCGCCCGUCAAGCCACGAAAGUGGGGGAUAUCCGAAGUCGCCUUAGCAACCCGCAAGGGGGCCAAGCGCCUAAGAUAGACUCCGCGAUUGGGACU
rnacentral:rRNA from 1 species